GACAGAGGAUGCAAGCGUUAUCCGGAAUGAUUGGGCGUAAAGCGUCUGUAGGUGGCUUUUAAGUCCGCCGUCAAAUCCCAGGCUCAACCCUGGACAGGCGGUGGAAACUACCAAGCUGGAGUACGGUAGGGCAGAGGGAAUUCCGGUGGAGCGGUGAAAUGCGUAGAGAUCGGAAAGAACACCAACGGCGAAAGCACUCUGCUGGGCCGACACUGACACUGAGAGACGAAAGCUAGGGGAGCGAAUGGGAUUAGAACCGAC
rnacentral:rRNA from 1 species